UGGGGCCCUUAUUCCGCUUCAGAAUUCUAGCGGUAUCCAUCCUUUCUUCGAGUGCCCUGAAUCUCAUGGCGUCUCCUUGGGACAUAGGCGCCCUUCGAGUCGUCCCUGUCCUCGCCCCUCUGCAUCUCUCAGAGCGAUCUAGGUUAGUCCUGGAACCUCCGCCUCUCUUUUCGCCAUCUAGGAGCCUUUUCUUUGCCAUUUUCUUUUGUCGUAUUCCUCCGAGUUAGUC
rnacentral:lncRNA from 1 species